CACGUAGGCGGGAACUUAAGUCAGAUGUGAAAGACCGGGGCUCAACUCCGGGAUUGCAUUUGAAACUGGGUUUCUUGAGGGCAGGAGAGGAAAGCAGAAUUCCUGGUGUAGCGGUGAAAUGCGUAGAAAUCAGGAGGAAUACCAGUGGCGAAGGCGGCUUUCUGGACUGACCCUGACGCUGAGGUGCGAAAGCGUGGGUAGCAAACA
rnacentral:rRNA from 1 species